UUUGACAUCCUUUUAGAAUAGAUUACUGUGGGAUCUUUCAACAACUAUUGGGAUUUACCGAUUGGCAAUGGAAUAUGGAAGUUGUUUGUGUAAAUCAUCGGCGGAUUUUCGAUUGGGAUUCACUUUGUAUUUCGGUUUUGAGAUUAGAGGAGUUCUAUUUUCUUUGAGAUCAAUUGUUCAGCCGGUUUGAAAGCGUACAUGGUGAUACCUAAGAACUUUUGGAUAAGAAUGA
rnacentral:lncRNA from 1 species